rnacentral:rRNA from 1 species
UACGGGGGGAGCAAGCGUUGUUCGGAUUUACUGGGCGUAAAGGGCGCGUAGGCGGCCACCGCAAGUCGAUUGUGAAAUCUCCGAGCUUAACUCGGAAAGGUCAACUGAUACUGUGCGACUAGAGUGCGGAAGGGGCAACUGGAAUUCUUGGUGUAGCGGUGAAAUGCGUAGAUAUCAAGAGGAACACCUGCGGCGAAGGCGGGUUGCUGGGCCGACACUGACGCUGAAGCGCGAAAGCCAGGGGAGCGAACGGG